AUAAAGUUUUAUUUUAGCUUUAAAAUUUAUUAUUAAUUUAAUUUAUAUGUAAAUUUUUGUAAGAAUUUUUAUUUAUUUUAAUAGUAUAUAAAUAAUAGUAUUCGCAGUAAUUAAUAUUAUUUAUUAAAGAAAUUUAGAAAUAGUAAUAUUAAAAAGUAUUGACUUAAUUUGUGCCAGCAGUCGCGGUUAUACAAAUAAUACAAGUAAUUUUUUUUUAAUUAAAGUUAAAUUAAAAUUUUAUUAAAAUAAAAUUAAUUUAUUAAGUGAAAUUUUAAAUUUUUAUUUUUUAUGAUUAAAUUAAUUGAAGCUUAUAAAAUUUAGUUUAAAACUAGGAUUAGAUACCCUAUUAUUAAAAAUGUAUUAAAAAUUAAGGUAGUAAUAGUUAUGUUCUUGAAACUUAAAAAAUUUGGCGGUAUUUUAGUCUAUUCAGAGGAACUUGUUUUAUAAUCGAUAAUCCUCGAUGGACCUUACUUAAAUUAGUUUUCAGUUUAUAUACCGUCGUUAUUAGAGAAUUUUAUUAGAAUAUAAAUUUUCAUAAACUUUAUUAAAAGAGAAUAUCAGAUCAAGGUGUAGCUAAUGUUUAAGUAAAAAUGAGUUACAAUAAAAUUAUUUAAACGAAUAUAAAUUUGAAAUAUUUAUUAAAGGUGGAUUUGAUAGUAAAAUUAUAAAGAUAAUUAAUUUGAUUUUAGCUCUAAAAUAUGUACAUAUCGCCCGUCACUCUUAUUAUUAAGGUAAGAUAAGUCGUAACAUAGUAGAUGUACUGGAAAGUGUAUCUAGAAUACA
rnacentral:ncRNA from 1 species